GGCUCUGCUCCCCUCCUGCUCCCUUUGCUCCUCCCCCUUCCCUGUGUGUCUGAGGGUGCGGCCUCCAUUCUCCUCACCUGCUGCCUGCUGUCUCACCUGCUCUCAAUCAUUCAUCAUGCCUCAGUCUUCAAGAACCCCGGUCUUCCUCCCAUUCAUCGCCAGAUUGUUUCAGCCUAUGUGGUGGUAACUCUUGUGGCUCUUCCCAGUAUUAAGGGUCCCUUUGUGCAGUUUGGCUUCCUGUGUCCGCUCACCUGUGCCUCUGUGUCUCCGGUCUCUUCCGCCAUCAGUGUUAUUUAUUAUAUCAGUAGCUUUGUGAUAUAAUUGUUAUACUGGAGUGUAGAAACAUAUUGUACAAGUUAAAGAUCAGUGAAUGUGAAAUGACAUACAAAACAAAUACAGAAGUUGUCACAUCACUACUUUUACAUUCUGUAUUAUGUUUCUUUCUCUGAUCCUUAAAUGUAAAAAAAACAACAUGUUUCUUACUUUUCAUGCAUUACAGAACUGUGUGAAAUUACUACACUGUAUUUUGUGACAGAUAACUGUCUGAAUCUAGAAUCAAAAGACAUUUUAUCUAUAAACCUCCAUCACCUCUGGGUUUACUGCUGAAUAUAGUGACUAACACCUGGAACCAGUUGAAUCCAAACCCUAUCAAAAAUGUUUCAUGACUCUGUGUCUGAUGUGUCCUGACCACUAACAAAUGUGUAUAAAGACCAAUGUAGGCAGCCUGUCUGUUAAUUCACAUGUAUCACCAGUGUGUGCUGUCUCACAGUAAUAACACACCUUUUUACAGACAACAUCAUCAUGUGACAGGAUGGAGGACGAGAUGCUGUUAUCAGCUUUGUUGAACUCAUCACUGUAACUGUGAUUUGUCUGAUCAGCAGAUUAAAAUGAUCUGAUCUUCA